CCCUUAGACGUUCUGGGCCGCACGCGCGCUACACUGACCAGUGCAACAAGCAUCCGUCCUUGGCCGACAGGCCCGGUCAAUCUUUGAACGCUGGUCGUGAUGGGGAUAGACUUUUGCAAUUUUUGGUCUUCAACGAGGAAUUCCUAGUAAACGCAAGUCAUCAACUUGCAUUGAUUACGUCCCUGCCCUUUGUACACACCGCCCGUCGCACCUACCGAUUGAAUGGUCCGGUGAAGCCUCCGGAUUGGCGCGCACCUCGGUGCCGCCGAGAAGUUGGCUAAACCUUACCAUUUAGAGGAAGGUGAAGUCGUAACA
rnacentral:rRNA from 1 species